UAUUUCUGAAAUGAUGAUCAAUGUUUAAUCCCAGCUCAUUAUGAGACCUUGAGAUAUCAAGGUCCGGGAAUGGAUCUAUAAACAUGUAUCUGAUUCGCAAACUA